CCUACGGGUGGCAGCAGUGAGGAAUAUUGGUCAAUGGGCGAGAGCCUGAACCAGCGAAGUCGCGUGAAGGAUGAAGGAUCUAUGGUUGGUAAACUUCUUUUAUAUGGGAAUAAAGUGAGGAACGUGUUCAGCUUUGUAUGUACCAUAUGAAUAAGCAUCGGCUAACUCCGUGCCAGCAGCCGCGGUAAGACGGAGGAUGCGAGCGUUAUCCGGAUUGAUUGGGUUUAAAGGGUUCGUAGGUGGUUAAUUAAGUCAGCGGUGAAAGUUUGUGGCUCAACCAUAAAACUGACGUUGAAACUGGUUAACUUGAGUAUAUUUGAGGUAGGUGGAAUGCGUGGUGUAGCGGUGAAAUGCAUAGAUAUCACGCAGAACACCGAUGGCGAAGGCAGCUUACUAAACUAUAACUGACACUGAGGCACGAAAGCGUGGGGAGCAAACAGGAUUAGAUACCCGAGUAGUC
rnacentral:rRNA from 1 species